UACGUAGGAUCCGAGCAUUAUCCGGAGUGACUGGGUGUAAAGAGUUGCGUAGGUGGCAUAAUAAGUAGCUAGUGAAAUCUGGUGGCUCAACCAUUCAGACUAUUAGCUAAACUGUUAAGCUCGAGACCGUUAGGGGUAACUGGAAUUUCUAGUGUAGGAGUGAAAUCCGUAGAUAUUAGAAGGAACACCAAUAGCGUAGGCAGGUUACUGGGACGGUUCUGACACUAAGGCACGAAAGCGUAGGGAGCAAACGGGG
rnacentral:rRNA from 1 species